AGAGGAGGAGGAAAAUCUGGUUCAUUGCGGUAAGGUUAAUCCAUUUAAAGUAGCCAAGAUACUUAAAUCUGAAUUGGUACUACCUGUUUCUCUACAAACAGUUCAAAGAUGGUAUGUCCUUUUAUAAUAAACUUAUAAAUGUAUGAAAGCUUUGUUUUUAUUUUGUGGGCUAAUAUGGCACAAGAUUCCUAUGACAUUAGAACAGCCGAUGACUUGUGGGAAAUCAUUUGUCAAAGAUGGGAAGCUAUUCAGCAGACAAACAGAUGCGAAACUAUAAUUAACAGUAUGCCAGAUAGAAUAGAGAUGGUUAUCUCAAACGGAGGAUUUUGGAGCAAAUAUUGAAUUUAUAC
rnacentral:lncRNA from 1 species